UUCCUUCACCUACACCUGCCAGUCAUUCCGUCUUCUCUCACUUUAUCCCCUUCUCUCUAUGUCUCUCUGGGUUAAACGAGGAUGAUGAAGAAGACAGCGGCGAAGCCCUCGCUCCCACCAUCGCACUAAAUCAGAAGCCCUAAAUCUCGAACAAGAAAUUAACCAGUAAUUGCUUUCUGAUUUAUCUCCUGUUUUGCAGUAUAUUUUUUUGUCUGUUAUAUUUUCUUUAACUGUAGAAAGAAAUUAGAAGAUGACUCUUUCAAAAUCCAAUGGAAAAUCGUAUAUGGUUAAUCACUGAUCUACAGUUGCAGGUAAGUGAAUCAACGAUCAUCGUGAUGAUGAUUACGAGGUGUUUGUUCCAGUGGGUAUUUGUGGAUCUAUACAUGCCUAAUUAGGUCAUGAGAUUUAAAUCAAUUUAGUGACAGUAAUCUUAUAUGUUUGUAAAUCGUUUCCACUAAAUUGACUAAAUAAUCGGUACGUUUUUGGACUAGACGCCUGUAUAUAGCUUACAUUUAUUAAUAGGUUGGAAUGUAAAUUGAUUUAAGAAUGAUUUCUUGCGGUUUGUAGACGUUUUUAAAGGUGAUUUUACAUAGAGAAAGUGAAAGGUAGUUUCUUAUGCAAACAUAUUAAUCCUUCUAGCUAUUACAUACUAUUAGUUUUUAUAUGUAGAUAUUUAUCGUUUUACCCAGUUUGUAAAUGUAGAUUAAGGAAAACACCAACAACAGAAAAAAUCAAUCAUGUAAGAGGUCAGUUAGGACCAACAUGGAAAUCUGUAUCAUUUGGAUAACAUAUGCUGGGACAGUUCACUUAAAGAGGUCGGUGUGGAUGAAAGACCGCUGAAGGCGGGACCAAAUUCAGUAGCUUUGAAAAGUGUCGAAACACGAAAAGAGGUGCAUUGGUGCUUGAAGAAAUACAUAUUUUCUACAUAUAUCAGUGGUAAUCACAAAAAGAAAUGAUCACAUCUCACCAUCAAAUUAAAGCCUUGACCGGAGAAAUAACCAUUGUUGGCAACUUAAAAGGCUCAUUUUGACCCACUCUGUUUAGCCUGUAACCAACCAAAACGGGAUGAUCCGCCAUUUUUUAUUCUAUAAUAAAUAAUGCAAAACUAAGCUAUUUCUCCCAAAAGUCUCUUGAAACUCAGAUACCACUAAAAUUUGAACCAAACCAGUUUGGCCCGCCUAUCGAAUCAAAAGCACUCAUUCGACAAAACCAAUUUUACCCCGUUACAAAACAGGCCAUGUCAAAGUGGGCUAGCCCAUACUGCAUAGACGUCAUCUUUCUAAUCUUUUAUACAUGUUUAAUGCGAUAAUAUAAGUACAAAAAAUAAGAUUACUUUAGGGGUGCAAAUUCCUGGCACGACCUAAAACACAACCCAAACACGACAAAAGAAUAAUCAUAGUAAGAACCAUCGUCAUGACAUGACCAUGACCAUGAGAGAGAAUGUGUAUAUGAGAGAGAUACAUGCAUAUUGAGAGACAUAUAUAGAGUCAUAGAGAGAGGGCAAGAAACUUUGCAUGAAAGUAAGAGAAUACUUUAUACUAUGGACGAACGCACAUUAUAAACAUCAGUGUCACAUGAUAUCG